rfam:TPA: Bos taurus chromosome 7, whole genome shotgun sequence.
UCCCUGGUGGCUCAGAAAAUAAAGCGUCUGCCUGCAAUGCAGGAGACCCGGGUUCGAUCCCUGGAUUGGGAA